rnacentral:rRNA from 1 species
GAUGAACGCUGGCGGCGUGCCUAAUACAUGCAAGUUGAGCGAAUGGAUUAAGAGCUUGCUCUUAUGAAGUUAGCGGCGGACGGGUGAGUAACACGUGGGUAACCUGCCCAUAAGACUGGGAUAACUCCGGGAAACCGGGGCUAACACCGGAUAAUAUUUUGAACUGCAUGGUUCAAAAUUGAAAGGCGGCUUCGGCUGUCACUUAUGGAUGGACCCGCGUCGCAUUAGCUAGUUGGUGAGGUAACGGCUCACCAAGGCAACGAUGCGUAGCCGACCGGAGAGGGUGAUCGGCCACACUGGGACUGAGACACGGCCCAGACUCCUACGGGAGGCAGCAGUAGGGAAUCUUCCGCAAUGGACGAAAGUCUGACGGAGCAACGCCGCGUGAGUGAUGAAGGCUUUCGGGUCGUAAAACUCUGUUGUUAGGGAAGAACAAGUGCUAGUUGAAUAAGCUGGCACCUUGACGGUACCUAACCAGAAAGCCACGGCUAACUACGUGCCAGCAGCCGCAGUAA